rnacentral:rRNA from 1 species
GUGGGGAAUUGUUCGCAAUGGGCGCAAGCCUGACGACGCAACGCCGCGUGGAGGAUGAAGACCUUCGGGUCGUAAACUCCUUUCGAUCGAGACGAACGGCUCCCGUGCUAAUCAGCGGGAGAGUGACGGUACCGAGAGAAGAAGCCCCGGCUAACUCCGUGCCAGCAGCCGCGGUAAUACGGGGGGGGCAAGCGUUGUUCGGAAUUACUGGGCGUAAAGGGCUCGUAGGCGGCCAACUAAGUCAGACGUGAAAUCCCUCGGCUUAACCGGGGAACUGCGUCUGAUACUGGAUGGCUUGAGGUUGGGAGAGGGAUGCGGAAUUCCAGGUGUAGCGGUGAAAUGCGUAGAUAUCUGGAGGAACACCGGUGGCGAAGGCGGCAUCCUGGACCAAUUCUGACGCUGAGGAGCGAAAGCCAGGGGAGCAAACGGGAUUAGAAACCCCAGUAGUCC